rnacentral:rRNA from 1 species
CAGGCUUAACACAUGCAAGUCGAGGGGCAGCAUGGUCUUAGCUUGCUAAGGCCGAUGGCGACCGGCGCACGGGUGAGUAACACGUAUCCAACCUGCCGUCUACUCUUGGACAGCCUUCUGAAAGGAAGAUUAAUACAAGAUGGCAUCAUGAGUCCGCAUGUUCACAUGAUUAAAGGUAUUCCGGUAGACGAUGGGGAUGCGUUCCAUUAGAUAGUAGGCGGGGUAACGGCCCACCUAGUCUUCGAUGGAUAGGGGUUCUGAGAGGAAGGUCCCCCACAUUGGAACUGAGACACGGUCCAAACUCCUACGGGAGGCAGCAGUGAGGAAUAUUGGUCAAUGGGCGAGAGCCUGAACCAGCCAAGUAGCGUGAAGGAUGACUGCCCUAUGGGUUGUAAACUUCUUUUAUAAAGGAAUAAAGUCGGGUAUGGAUACCCGUUUGCAUGUACUUUAUGAAUAAGGAUCGGCUAACUCCGUGCCAGCAGCCGCGGUAAUACGGAGGAUCCGAGCGUUAUCCGGAUUUAUUGGGUUUAAAGGGAGCGUAGAUGGAUGUUUAAGUCAGUUGUGAAAGUUUGCGGCUCAACCGUAAAAUUGCAGUUGAUACUGGAUAUCUUGAGUGCAGUUGAGGCAGGCGGAAUUCGUGGUGUAGCGGUGAAAUGCUUAGAUAUCACGAAGAACUCCGAUUACGAAGGCAGCCUGCUAAGCUGCAACUGACAUUGAGGCUCGAAAGUGUGGGUAUCAAACAGGAUUAGAUACCCUGGUAGUCCACACGGUAAACGAUGAAUACUCGCUGUUUGCGAUAUACAGCAAGCGGCCAAGCGAAAGCGUUAAGUAUUCCACCUGGGGAGUACGCCGGCAACGGUGAAACUCAAAGGAAUUGACGGGGGCCCGCACAAGCGGAGGAACAUGUGGUUUAAUUCGAUGAUACGCGAGGAACCUUACCCGGGCUUAAAUUGCAGAUGAAUUACGGUGAAAGCCGUAAGCCGCAAGGCAUCUGUGAAGGUGCUGCAUGGUUGUCGUCAGCUCGUGCCGUGAGGUGUCGGCUUAAGUGCCAUAACGAGCGCAACCCUUGUUGUCAGUUACUAACAGGUUCCGCUGAGGACUCUGACAAGACUGCCAUCGUAAGAUGUGAGGAAGGUGGGGAUGACGUCAAAUCAGCACGGCCCUUACGUCCGGGGCUACACACGUGUUACAAUGGGGGGUACAGAGGGCCGCUACCACGCGAGUGGAUGCCAAUCCCCAAAACCUCUCUCAGUUCGGACUGGAGUCUGCAACCCGACUCCACGAAGCUGGAUUCGCUAGUAAUCGCGCAUCAGCCACGGCGCGGUGAAUACGUUCCCGGGCCUUGUACACACCGCCCGUCAAGCCAUGGGAGCCGGGGGUACCUGAAGUGCGUAACCGCGAGGAGCGCCCUAGGGUAAAACUGGUGACUGGGGCUAAGUCG